AUUGAACGCUGGCGGAAUGCUUUACACAUGCAAGUCGAACGGCAGCACGGGGGCAGCCCUGGUGGCGAGUGGCGAACGGGUGAGUAAUACAUCGGAACGUGCCCGGUCGUGGGGGAUAACGUAGCGAAAGUUACGCUAAUACCGCAUACGAUCUGAGGAUGAAAGCGGGGGACCUUCGGGCCUCGCGCGAUCGGAGCGGCCGAUGUCAGAUUAGGUAGUUGGUGGGGUAAAGGCCUACCAAGCCGACGAUCUGUAGCUGGUCUGAGAGGACGACCAGCCACACUGGGACUGAGACACGGCCCAGACUCCUACGGGAGGCAGCAGUGGGGAAUUUUGGACAAUGGGCGCAAGCCUGAUCCAGCCAUUCCGCGUGCAGGACGAAGGCCUUCGGGUUGUAAAAUGCUUUUGUACGGAAAGAAAAGGCUCUGGCUAAUACCUGGGGCUCAUGACGGUACCGUAAGAAUAAGCACCGGCUAACUACGUG
rnacentral:rRNA from 1 species